GAAAGUCUUAUGACAGGAAGGGAACAAAUAUUCCAAAUCUUGAAGGAAGCUGAGGAUUCUCACAAGUGGAAGUAUGCAGAGACUACAUUCCAAGCCUGAGGAAUAUAUUGUCUAUAUGAAAACCUAGAGAGGACACUUAUCAUGGGGUCUACUGCAGCGGAAAUCGAGGAGCUGGAAAACACCUCUUUUAAGUACCUUAUAGGAGAACAGACUGAAAAAAUGUGGCAACAGCUGAAAGGAAUGGAGAGGGAGAUUGGAGAAAGAAAAUAGCAAUGAUGAUGCUCUACCUGCUUCCCAACAAAAAAAGAGGAUCAUUGAAAUAUUUUUAAAAGGAACAGUGGAGAGAAGAAAAACGUUCAGAUGGAAGCAGAGAAAUAGGACAAUUUUGAAUACUGUAUGAAUUUUAUAUUUCACUUCUUGACUGUUAAUAAUGUCCAGAGAUGGUUGGAAUUUAUCAACACAUACAAAACAAUAUCUUAAUCUGUUAAAUUAAGCGUUUGGACAGGAUUAUGUCUAACUCUAUGUUUAACUCUAAACCUCUGUGCCCUACUAAAUUUUUAUACUUAGAUUGGCAAUAAAUCUUCUUAUAUUUCUGAGUGGUGGUUGUUU
rnacentral:lncRNA from 1 species